CCCUUAGAUGUCCUGGGCCGCACGCGCGUUACACUGAUGCAUUCAACGAGCUUAUAACCUUGGCCGAGAGGCCUGGGCAAUCUUGUUAACGUGCAUCGUGAUAGGGAUAGAUUAUUGAUAUUAUUAAUCUUGAACGAGGAAUUCCUAGUAAACGCAGAUCAUCAAUCUGCAUUGAUUACGUCCCUGCCCUUUGUACACACCGUCCGUCGCACCUACCGAUUGGAUGGUCCGGUGAAGCCUCGGGAUUGUGGUUCUUGCCGCUUUAUUGUGGCGUGACCGCGAGAACUUGUCUAAACCUUAUCAUCUAGAGGAAGGUGAAGUCGUAACA
rnacentral:rRNA from 1 species